rnacentral:rRNA from 1 species
ACGAACGCUGGCGGCAGGCUUAACACAUGCAAGUCGAGCGAGACCUUCGGGUCUAGCGGCGGACGGGUGAGUAACGCGUGGGAACGUGCCCUUCUCUACGGAAUAGCCCCGGGAAACUGGGAGUAAUACCGUAUACGCCCUUUGGGGGAAAGAUUUAUCGGAGAAGGAUCGGCCCGCGUUGGAUUAGGUAGUUGGUGGGGUAAUGGCCCACCAAGCCGACGAUCCAUAGCUGGUUUGAGAGGAUGAUCAGCCACACUGGGACUGAGACACGGCCCAGACUCCUACGGGAGGCAGCAGUGGGGAAUCUUAGACAAUGGGGGCAACCCUGAUCUAGCCAUGCCGCGUGAGUGAUGAAGGCCUUAGGGUUGUAAAGCUCUUUCAGCUGGGAAGAUAAUGACGGUACCAGCAGAAGAAGCCCCGGCUAACUCCGU